UUAAGCGACUAAGCGUACACGGUGGAUGCCCUGGCAGUCAGAGGCGAUGAAGGGCGUGCUAAUCUGCGAUAAGCGCCGGUAAGGUGAUAUGAACCGUUAUAACCGGCGAUACCCGAAUGGGGAAACCCAGUGUGAUUCGUCACACUAUCAUUAACUGAAUCCAUAGGUUAAUGAGGCGAACCGGGGGAACUGAAACAUCUAAGUACCCCGAGGAAAAGAAAUCAACCGAGAUUCCCCCAGUAGCGGCGAGCGAACGGGGAGGAGCCCAGAGCCUGAAUCAGCAUGUGUGUUAGUGGAAGCGUCUGGAAAGGCGCGCGAUACAGGGUGACAGCCCCGUACACAAAAGCGCAUGUGCUGUGAGCUCGAUGAGUAGGGCGGGACACGUGGUAUCCUGUCUGAAUAUGGGGGGACCAUCCUCCAAGGCUAAAUACUCCUGACUGACCGAUAGUGAACCAGUACCGUGAGGGAAAGGCGAAAAGAACCCCGGCGAGGGGAGUGAAAAAGAACCUGAAACCGUGUACGUACAAGCAGUGGGAGCACAGGUUUACCUGUGUGACUGCGUACCUUUUGUAUAAUGGGUCAGCGACUUAUAUUCUGUAGCAAGGUUAACCGAAUAGGGGAGCCGGAGGGAAACCGAGUCUUAAUUGGGCGUUAAGUUGCAGGGUAUAGACCCGAAACCCGGUGAUCUAGCCAUGGGCAGGUUGAAGGUUGGGUAACACUAACUGGAGGACCGAACCGACUAAUGUUGAAAAAUUAGCGGAUGACCUGUGGCUGGGGGUGAAAGGCCAAUCAAACCGGGAGAUAGCUGGUUCUCCCCGAAAGCUAUUUAGGUAGCGCCUCGUGAAUUCAUCUCCGGGGGUAGAGCACUGUUUCGGCUAGGGGGCCAUCCCGGCUUACCAACCCGAUGCAAACUGCGAAUACCGGAGAAUGUUAUCACGGGAGACACACGGCGGGUGCUAACGUCCGUCGUGAAGAGGGAAACAACCCAGACCGCCAGCUAAGGUCCCAAAGUCAUGGUUAAGUGGGAAACGAUGUGGGAAGGCCCAGACAGCCAGGAUGUUGGCUUAGAAGCAGCCAUCAUUUAAAGAAAGCGUAAUAGCUCACUGGUCGAGUCGGCCUGCGCGGAAGAUGUAACGGGGCUAAACCAUGCACCGAAGCUGCGGCAGCGACGCUUAUGCGUUGUUGGGUAGGGGAGCGUUCUGUAAGCCUGUGAAGGUGUGUCGUGAGGCAUGCUGGAGGUAUCAGAAGUGCGAAUGCUGACAUAAGUAACGAUAAAGCGGGUGAAAAGCCCGCUCGCCGGAAGACCAAGGGUUCCUGUCCAACGUUAAUCGGGGCAGGGUGAGUCGACCCCUAAGGCGAGGCCGAAAGGCGUAGUCGAUGGGAAACGGGUUAAUAUUCCCGUACUUGGUGUUACUGCGAAGGGGGGACGGAGAAGGCUAUGUUGGCCGGGCGACGGUUGUCCCGGUUUAAGCGUGUAGGUGUGUGUUCCAGGUAAAUCCGGUUCACUUUAACACUGAGGCGUGAUGACGAGGCACUACGGUGCUGAAGUAACAAAUGCCCUGCUUCCAGGAAAAGCCUCUAAGCAUCAGGUAACAUCAAAUCGUACCCCAAACCGACACAGGUGGUCAGGUAGAGAAUACCAAGGCGCUUGAGAGAACUCGGGUGAAGGAACUAGGCAAAAUGGUGCCGUAACUUCGGGAGAAGGCACGCUGACACGUAGGUGAAGUGAUUUACUCAUGGAGCUGAAGUCAGUCGAAGAUACCAGCUGGCUGCAACUGUUUAUUAAAAACACAGCACUGUGCAAACACGAAAGUGGACGUAUACGGUGUGACGCCUGCCCGGUGCCGGAAGGUUAAUUGAUGGGGUCAGCGCAAGCGAAGCUCCUGAUCGAAGCCCCGGUAAACGGCGGCCGUAACUAUAACGGUCCUAAGGUAGCGAAAUUCCUUGUCGGGUAAGUUCCGACCUGCACGAAUGGCGUAAUGAUGGCCAGGCUGUCUCCACCCGAGACUCAGUGAAAUUGAACUCGCUGUGAAGAUGCAGUGUACCCGCGGCAAGACGGAAAGACCCCGUGAACCUUUACUAUAGCUUGACACUGAACAUUGAGCCUUGAUGUGUAGGAUAGGUGGGAGGCUUUGAAGUGUGGACGCCAGUCUGCAUGGAGCCGACCUUGAAAUACCACCCUUUAAUGUUUGAUGUUCUAACGUGGACCCGUUACCCGGGUUGCGGACAGUGUCUGGUGGGUAGUUUGACUGGGGCGGUCUCCUCCUAAAGAGUAACGGAGGAGCACGAAGGUUGGCUAAUCCUGGUCGGACAUCAGGAGGUUAGUGCAAUGGCAUAAGCCAGCUUGACUGCGAGCGUGACGGCGCGAGCAGGUGCGAAAGCAGGUCAUAGUGAUCCGGUGGUUCUGAAUGGAAGGGCCAUCGCUCAACGGAUAAAAGGUACUCCGGGGAUAACAGGCUGAUACCGCCCAAGAGUUCAUAUCGACGGCGGUGUUUGGCACCUCGAUGUCGGCUCAUCACAUCCUGGGGCUGAAGUAGGUCCCAAGGGUAUGGCUGUUCGCCAUUUAAAGUGGUACGCGAGCUGGGUUUAGAACGUCGUGAGACAGUUCGGUCCCUAUCUGCCGUGGGCGCUGGAGAACUGAGGGGGGCUGCUCCUAGUACGAGAGGACCGGAGUGGACGCAUCACUGGUGUUCGGGUUGUCAUGCCAAUGGCACUGCCCGGUAGCUAAAUGCGGAAGAGAUAAGUGCUGAAAGCAUCUAAGCACGAAACUUGCCCCGAGAUGAGUUCUCCCUGAGACUUAAAGUCUCCUGAAGGAACGUUGAAGACGACGACGUUGAUAGGCCGGGUGUGUAAGCGCAGCGAUGCGUUGAGCUAACCGGUACUAAUGAACCGUGAGGCUUAACCCU
rnacentral:rRNA from 1 species